AGAUGUGUUUAAGAGACAGAGAAAGCCAAAAACCCUGCACUUGUUGCCACGUCUCCAUCUUACCACAUGUGAAACCUUGGAAUCAUGAGACACAUAUGACAAAACUAGAGGAGUGUGUCAGGAGCAUUCAAGCAGAC